AUGGAGCCGACCUUGAAAUACCACCCUUUAAUGUUUGAUGUUCUAACGUUGACCCGUAAUCCGGGUUGCGGACAGUGUCUGGUGGGUAGUUUGACUGGGGCGGUCUCCUCCUAAAGAGUAACGGAGGAGCACGAAGGUUGGCUAAUCCUGGUCGGACAUCAGGAGGUUAGUGCAAUGGCAUAAGCCAGCUUGACUGCGAGCGUGACGGCGCGAGCAGGUGCGAAAGCAGGUCAUAGUGAUCCGGUGGUUCUGAAUGGAAGGGCCAUCGCUCAACGGAUAAAAGGUACUCCGGGGAUAACAGGCUGAUACCGCCCAAGAGUUCAUAUCGACGGCGGUGUUUGGCACCUCGAUGUCGGCUCAUCACAUCCUGGGGCUGAAGUAGGUCCCAAGGGUAUGGCUGUUCGCCAUUUAAAGUGGUACGCGAGCUGGGUUUAGAACGUCGUGAGACAGUUCGGUCCCUAUCUGCCGUGGGCGCUGGAGAACUGAGGGGGGCUGCUCCUAGUACGAGAGGACCGGAGUGGACGCAUCACUGGUGUUCGGGUUGUCAUGCCAAUGGCACUGCCCGGUAGCUAAAUGCGGAAGAGAUAAGUGCUGAAAGCAUCUAAGCACGAAACUUGCCCCGAGAUGAGUUCUCCCUGACUCCUUGAGAGUCCUGAAGGAACGUUGAAGACGACGACGUUGAUAGGCCGGGUGUGUAAGCGCAGCGAUGCGUUGAGCUAACCGGUACUAAUGAACCGU
rnacentral:rRNA from 1 species